AUGAACGCUAGCGACAGGCCUAACACAUGCAAGUCAGGGGCAGCACGAAUCAAGCUUGCUUGAUUUGGUGGCGACCGGCGCACGGGUGCGUAACAGGUGUGCAAUCUGUCCAUAAUCGGGGAAUAGCCCAGCGAAAGUUGGAUUAAUGCUCCAUGUGAGUUUUAGAGGCAUCUCUUUAAUUUGAAACGCAAGGAUUAUGGGUGAGCACGCUUCUGAUUAGGUAGUUGGUGAGGUAACGGCUCACCAAGCCGACGAUCAGUAGGGGUUCUGAGAGGAAGGUCCCCCACAUUGGAACUGAGACACGGUCCAAACUCCUACGGGAGGCAGCAGUGAGGAAUAUUGGUCAAUGGGCGAAAGCCUGAACCAGCCAAGUCGCGUGAAGGAUGAAGGUUCUAUGGAUUGUAAACUUCUUUUGUCUGAGGGUAAAAAGCGGACGUGUCCGUUCUUGCAAGUAUCAGACGAAUAAGCAUCGGCUAACUCCGUG
rnacentral:rRNA from 1 species